rnacentral:rRNA from 1 species
AAUCAACGCUGGCGGCGUGCCUCAGACAUGCAAGUCGAACGCGAAAGUCCCCUUCGGGGGACAAGUAGAGUGGCGCACGGGUGAGUAACACGUGGGUAAUUUACCUUCGGGUGGGAAUAACAGUCGGAACGACUGCUAAUACCGCAUGAUGCAGCGGCACCACAUGGUGACAGUUGUUAAAGCGGGGGAUCGCAAGACCUCGCGCCUGAAGAGAAGCCCGCGGCAGAUUAGCUAGUUGGUAAGGUAAUGGNUUACCAAGGCAACGACCUGUAGCCGGCCUGAGAGGGCGGUCGGCCACACUGACACUGAAUAAC